rnacentral:tRNA from 1 species
GCCUGAGUGGCUCAGUUGGUUGAGUGCCUGCCUUCAGCUCAGGUCAUGAUCUCGGGAUCAGGGUCUUGGGAUCAAGUCCUGAAUCAGGCU